rnacentral:rRNA from 1 species
AUUGAACGCUGGCGGCAUGCCUUACACAUGCAAGUCGAACGGUAACAGGUCUUCGGAUGCUGACGAGUGGCGAACGGGUGAGUAAUACAUCGGAACGUGCCCGAUCGUGGGGGAUAACGCAGCGAAAGCUGUGCUAAUACCGCAUACGAUCUACGGAUGAAAGCGGGGGAUCGCAAGACCUCGCGCGGACGGAGCGGCCGAUGGCAGAUUAGGUAGUUGGUGGGAUAAAAGCUUACCAAGCCGACGAUCUGUAGCUGGUCUGAGAGGACGACCAGCCACACUGGGACUGAGACACGGCCCAGACUCCUACGGGAGGCAGCAGUGGGGAAUUUUGGACAAUGGGCGCAAGCCUGAUCCAGCCAUGCCGCGUGCAGGAUGAAGGCCUUCGGGUUGUAAACUGCUUUUGUACGGAACCAAAAAGCUCUCUCUAAUACAGGGGGUGAAUGACGGUACCGUAAGAAUAAGCACCGGCUAACUACGUG